rnacentral:rRNA from 1 species
UACGUAGGUGGCAAGCGUUGUCCGGAUUUAUUGGGUUUAAAGGGUGCGUAGGUGGUCAAUUAAGUCAGCGCUGAAAUAUCCCGGCUUAACCGGGAGGGUGGCAUUGAUACUGAUUGACUUGAGUGGAGUUGAGGUAGGCGGAAUUGACGGUGUAGCGGUGAAAUGCUUAGAUAUCGUUAAGAACACCGAUAGCGAAGGCAGCUUACCAAGCUCAAACUGACACUGAUGCACGAAAGUGUGGGGAUCAAACAGG